CUUCGCAUCUAGUACUCUGGCUGUGAUUUGUGUGUCGAUCACAUCACAGUCUGAGUUCUAGCUGUGCGG
rfam:Operophtera brumata OBRT01_Sc02633, whole genome shotgun sequence.